GAUCCUGGCUCAGGAUGAACGCUAGCGGCAGGCUUAACACAUGCAAGUCGAGGGGCAGCAUUCGGGUAGCAGUACCUGAGAUGGCGACCGGCGCACGGGUGCGUAACGUGUAUGCAACCUACCCAUAACAGGGGCAUAACACUGAGAAAUUGGUGCUAAUUCCCCAUAACAUUCGAAGAGGCAUCUUUUCGGGUUGAAAACUCCGGUGGUUAUGGAUGGGCAUGCGUUGUAUUAGCUGG
rnacentral:rRNA from 1 species